CCGCCGGCGGGGAUCUUUGACGCGCAUCAUGGUGCCGUCGACGACCUCGUAAUGUUGGCGCAGAAAAGCGACGACCUGCGGGUUCCGAGAGGCGAGUGCCUUUGUCGUGCAUCCUUCGGUGCGGUUCUUGUGCAGAUAGACGACGACAUCGAGGUGGCCCGAUAGUGCGGCCAGGGUCAUGGCUUGGAUCGUACAACCGCACGUGGCCUUUUUGUCGAGAAACCGCACAACGGCCAGGUGGCCGUUGCGCGCGGCCUUGUCCAUAUCGCCCGAUCGACAGUCUCGUAUGCCGCGUCGGUAAAAGUAGGCGACAAUAUCGCGGUGCCCGUGCACGAUGGCCUCGACUAGGCUGGGACGCGCGAGACGCAUCCCCAUGAUCUCAUGCAAAAACGCGAUGACGUCAAAAUGUCCGUGGCGGGCGGCCAUGAAAAUCGCCCGCGCCGUGCAGCCCUCGCUCCGGUUGGCAUGGAGGAACUUGAUCACGUCGGAAUGCCCGCCGGCGGCGGCACCGUCCAUUGCGCGGGUCGUGCACCCCUCGGUACGAUUGGCAUGGAGGAAUUGGACGAUGGCGAGGUGACCGGCCGCGGCGGCCAGGUCCAUGGCGUCGGUCGGAGGGGGGCUCGCACACGACGACGACCACCACCAUGGCGCGGUUCUGACGAUGGGGUUUCCAAAUCGAUCGACAAUGGUCCCGUCGGCCGUAACAAAAUACUCUUGCAUAGAGUUUUGCGCGUCGGCGAGGUCGUGCGGUUUGGCAUCGGCAAAGUGCCCAUUGUGUGUGCACAGCCGAUGACGAUGAAGGAGGAGAACGACAUCGAGAUGGCCGCUAGCGGCGGCCUGCGCUAGAUGACACAGGGCAAACGGAGCGCCGUGGUCGCACAGCGCGCGUACUGCGGUCACGUCGCCGCGGCGGCAGAGGUCGAUGCGGUCGGCACAAAGCCAUCGCGGCACCUGUCGCCCACGGUGGAUUUCAUCGGCGGUAUGGACGCGAAACAUUCGAUGGGCCACGCGGACCGUACAAAAGGAGACGUCGUCGAGCCGAUCGAUAAUGCCACAAAGAAUUUCGGUGGGCAUGCUGCCGAUUCCUACUGCACCGUCAUCGGCAGCCGAAAGAUUCUGCGAUUCGGAUUUCCUCAUGACUGCGGCGACGACGACUUGACUUUGCCCGGCCGCCCGGCACCACAUAAAGGACCGCCUCUCUCUCUCUCUCUCUUUUUGUUGUGUCUGGCGAAUUGGAACAAAGACUUGCUGUACAUUUUUUGAUUGGAUUAACAAGUUUGGCAGGCGA
rnacentral:lncRNA from 1 species